GAUGAACGCUAGCUACAGGCUUAACACAUGCAAGUCGAGGGGAAACGGCAUCGAAAGCUUGCUUUUGAUGGGCGUCGACCGGCGCACGGGUGAGUGACGCGUAUCCAACCUGCCCAUCACUUGGGAAUAACCUUGCGAAAGUAAGACUAAUGCCCAAUGACAUCCCACGAAGGCAUCCGAAUGGGAUUAAAGAUUUAUCGGUGAUGGAUGGGGAUGCGUCUGAUUAGCUUGUUGGCGGGGUGACGGCCCACCAAGGCAACGAUCAGUAGGGGUUCUGAGAGGAAGGUCCCCCACAUUGGAACUGAGACACGGUCCAAACUCCUACGGGAGGCAGCAGUGAGGAAUAUUGGUCAAUGGGCGAGAGCCUGAACCAGCCAAGUAGCGUGCAGGAUGACGGCCCUAUGGGUUGUAAACUGCUUUUAUAAGGGAAUAAAGUGGGUCACGUGUGACUUUUUGCAUGUACCUUAUGAAUAAGGACCGGCUAAUUCCAUG
rnacentral:rRNA from 1 species